rnacentral:rRNA from 1 species
UACGAAGGGGGCGAGCGUUGUUCGGAUUUACUGGGCGUAAAGGGCGCGCAGGCGGCUAUCCAAGUCAGGCGUGAAAGCCCCGGGCUUAACCUGGGAGGUGCGUCUGGGACUGGGUGGCUAGAGUUCGGGAGGGGAGACUGGAAUUCCUGGUGUAGCGGUGAAAUGCGCAGAUAUCAGGAGGAACACCGGUGGCGAAGGCGGGACUCUGGGCCGAUACUGACGCUGAGGAGCGAAAGCGUGGGGAGCAAACAGG